GUUUUAUAAUCGAUAACUCACGUUAAUUUUUACUUUAAUUAAAAAUUUAUAUACCGCCAUCUAAAGAAUUAAUUUAAUUAUAUUAUUCUUAAUAAAAAAUAAAAAGUUAGGUCAAGGUGUAAUUUACAUUAAAGAUUUAAUGGGUUACUUUAAAAAAAAAUUUAAGAAUUAAUAUAUGUAAACAUAUUAUGAAAAAGGAUUCAAAAGUAAUAUUAUACAAUAAUAAUAUAUUAUGAAUUAGAUAAUGAAUGUGCACACAUCGCCCGUC
rnacentral:rRNA from 1 species